ACCCCCUCCCGCAGUCCUGGAAGAAGAACAGCGGGAAGCCUCUGAAGUCUCCUCCAGGAGGAUCUCGCAGGAGGAGCUGGACCAGGAGCCCACACUGGUCACAUCCUCCAGGUGUUGGGAAUCCAGCCAAUAGAGCCCACUGACCUGCAGAUAUAAUGUAGGAGGCAGAAGUUUGCAUUCGGAAGCUGCUGCAGGAGUGUCUUGAGUUCCACCAGCCCCUUUAAAGAAAGUAAAUGAAUCAGACACUGAGGAUUAUGGGUGGUACCUGCUCCUUUCCCCCAGCCAGCAGCUUGGCACACAGCAGGAAGUCCUCGUAUUUGGAGAAGGGAACGAGUGGCUCCGGCAGCUCUCGCAGGUAGAGCUUCAGAAGAGAAGCCACAGUGUGCA